ACUGCGCGCACCCAGGAGGUGACCUGCGGAAGGUCGGUCCGAGAGACAGCACGUGGAGGGCAGAGUAGAGACAGCACUGGCAGAGCACGCACUAUGCAAAGAACGCCAUGAUCGAAGGUGCUAACCUCAUGGACCCCUGUCUGGAAUAAGAUGGAACAUUUGAAAUGUGCAAUAGAACAUCAAAGAGCCUUGUUGGUCAACCUGCCUGUCAUACAGUAUAUUCUGUGAGAAACAGUGAGAUACUGAAUGGAACAGAAAAAGGAAGAUGAUGACUGAUGUACUCAGAGAUGCUCAUCAACUGUCCCCAGAGUUCUCAGCUUCAGCAAAGAUCCCUGUGCCCAAAUUGGAUGCAGAAACAACUGGACACCUGGGCCUCAGAGAUGAAUUGAUGAAGACUGGGCCGAUGGGCAUUUCAGAGGCAAGAGGUAAAUGAAGAGAUGAAACAAUACUGGAUGGAUGUCUUUGGCUUUUGAUAUGAGGCAAACUCCAAGAACUUCUUCAUAGUCAUGGCCAUAAGUGGUUCAGGAGUCCAAAUAGAGACAGAGGUGGAAUGGAAUCUUAGUGUUAGAAUUAAUUUGCUUAAAGGAUGUAAUGUAAUGUGACAUUUUUGCCUAAGUUAAUGGCGUAAACAUAAUGUCUAUUAGAAUUUCAUGUACAUCUUUUCCUUAAAGUAGCUUUUUUUUUCAUUAUUUCUUACUUGACUUACAAAAGUAUAGGGAAUUUUUCUUUCAUAUUCCCAAGCAGUAACCCAAGUCUUUGAAAUGCUCUGAGUUAAAAAAAAAAAUAGACAACAGAAUUCAUGGAUCAAGCAAGGUGCCCAAAAGAAAAUUUUUUCAACAGUUAUUUUCAUGGAUACUUCAUAAUUUUACUUAUUGUUUUUUGUUGGGAGCCAAAAUCAUCUCUGCAAAGUCUCUGCAAAGAAUAACUAGAACAGGUCUCUGAAGCAGGUCUCUGCAAAGAAUUAACUAGAACAGGGAUGAUAACCUUGGAGUCAUCAUUAGCAUUCUCAGAUUUUAUUACUAACCAUCCAGUGUAUUGUGUGUUCCUUACUCAAGGUCAGUUGUAUGCAUUAUUGUAGUACCAUCGUUACACAAUUUUUGAAUUGCAUUUAAAAAUGUCAAUAAGCUGAAGUAAGCUUUAUGUCUAGAUAGAUGGAUAAAUAGAUGAAUUCAUUACCAUUAAUUUGAAGAGUCAGCCUGGGUAUGUAUGAGAUAAUGAGAUGCACUGUAGUUUUAAACAAUUUAAAAGAAAUUAGAGAAAGCCUGGCUGUGGACCUUAG